UACGUAGGCAGCGAGCGUUGUUCGGAGUUACUGGGCGUAAAGGGUGUGUAGGCGGUUUUCUAAGUUUGGUGUGAAAUCUCCCGGCUCAACUGGGAGGGUGCGCCGAAAACUGGAAAGCUAGAGUACUGGAUGGGAGAGUGGAAUUCCUGGUGUAGCGGUGAAAUGCGCAGAUAUCAGGAAGAACACCCGUGGCGAAAGCGGCUCUCUGGAACGGUACUGACGCUGAGACGCGAAAGCGUGGGGAGCGAACAGG
rnacentral:rRNA from 1 species